rnacentral:rRNA from 1 species
GACAGAGGGUGCAAACGUUGCUCGGAAUUACUGGGCGUAAAGCGCGUGUAGGCGGUGCCGCACGUCCGAUGUGAAAGCCCGGGGCUCAACCCCGGACGUGCAUUGGAUACGACGGCGCUGGAGUCCUGAAGAGGAGGGCGGAAUUCCCGGUGUAGAGGUGAAAUUCGUAGAUAUCGGGAGGAAUACCAGUGGCGAAGGCGGCGACCUGGGCCAAUACUGACGCUGAGGUGCGAAAGCGUGGGGAGCAAACAGG